UUACAUCCUCCCCAAUUCCCUUUCGGUGUUGGCAUACUAGCAUGUGGCAUCCUAUGUGGAUGAUUGGAAGUGGCAUCUACCCUUUGGGGAGGUUUUGAACUGGUGUCGAGUUGUACCCUCCACCCCAGAAUACAAGCACUUUUAGGAUUUAGGACAGAUUAAGCAUGAAGGUAAAAAUGUGCCCCUCAUUUAUCAGCCAGCUGUUUAGUUAAUCUAGACCAUAGAUAGCAGUUUCAAUUUGACUGCACAGAUUACAAGCUUCCUUUUUUUGCGCCACAAAUUGUUCCUGCCAAUCAGAGUGCAAGCAUGUGAAUUGAUUCACUCGUCAAUCAGAACGACAAGGUGGGCCCGAGGAUCAAUUAAUUGUAAG
rnacentral:lncRNA from 1 species